rfam:Genlisea aurea contig_2619, whole genome shotgun sequence.
AUUAUUUUGAGUUUGAUCCUGGCUCAGAGUGAAUGCUAUUAACAUGCUUUACACAUGCGAGUUAAACGAAUACGGUAAUAAUUUACUUUAUUAGUAACGAACGGGUGCGUAAUAGUAGGUAUUUAAUGUGGAUAUUUUGGAUAAAAAGUAUUAGUGCCGCUAGGUGCUUAGUUUUAAACCGAAAUAAAAAGCGCUAGUUGGCUAUAUUUUUCCUGUUAUAGCUGGUGGUGCUUGAAAAAUUAAUUGUAUGCAUAUUAGACUUACCAAGAUCAGGUAGUUGGUAAAGGGAUAGCUUACCAAGCCCGAGACCUUUAGCUAGUUUGAAAAAAUGUAUAGCCACAUCGGGACUGUAACAAGGCCCGAAUUUCUUAGGGAGGCAGCAGUGGGGAAUACUGGACAAUGAGUUAACGCUUGAUCCGGCAAUGUUAAACGAAUGACGUGAAAGUAAUGAGCUGUAAAGUUCAUCCAACUAAUUUGUAUAUAAUGAAUGAAUUAGUAAAGCCCCGACUAACUUCGUGCCAGCAGUCGCGGUAAUACGGAGGGGGCAAGUGUUACUCAUCAUGACUAGGCGUAAAGGGUGCUAAGACCGCUAAAGGUUGCUUUGAUUAAAAUUCCAAUUGAAUUAUUGGAUGGUUAUCAGUUUAAACAAUUUAGCUAGAGUUGGUUGGAGAAUAGAAUUACUAGUUUUUGAGGGGUAGAAUCCGUCGAGAAGAUUAGGAGGAACGAAGGCGAAAGCAACUAUUUAUGAUUUACUGACGUUGAUACACUAAAGCGUGGGGAGCAAACAGGAUUAGAUACCCUGGUAGUCCACGCCCUGACCUAUAAGUGUGAAAAUUUAUUUUGGCCCCUAAGUAUUAUUUACGGGCAUCAUGACACAGCUGUUGUUUGAUUGAAAAAUUUAUUUUAGCUAACGUGAAAGCACUUCGCCUGGGGACUACGGCCGCAAGGUUGAAACUCAAAGGAAUUGACGGAGGACCACACAAGCGGUGGAGCAUGUGGCUUAAUGCGUAAUAACGCGCAAAACCUUACCAGUUUUUGAAUGUUAGAUGAUUUACUAUAAAAUAGUACAAAAGUUAUUUCCACUAUUCUUUGAGUUUAUAAAAUAAUUUGUAGCACAGGAGCUGCAUGGCUGUCGUCAGUUCGUGCCGUGAGGUGUUAGGUUCAGUCCAUAAACGAACGCAACCCCAUUUUCUAGUUAUGCGCAGUUACUUUAGCAAAAUAUUAUAUUUUGUUUUACUCGUAGCACUUUGCCAGUUAGGAAGACCGUCAUUGAAAGAUGAAGGAAGUAGGGAAGAUGUCAAGUCAGUAUGGCCUCGAUAAACUGGGCUGCCGCACAUGCUACAAUGCUUAUUACAGCGCGGUGCAAAGAUGUGAGUCUGAGCAAAUCGCUAAAAAUCAGCUUAGUUCAGAUUAUUCUCUGCAACUCGGGAAUAUGAAGGCGGAAUCGCUAGUAAUCGCGGAUCAGCACGCCGCGGUGAACAGGAGUCUGGUCCUAGUACAUACCGCCCGUCACGCCACGAAAAUUUGUUUUGUUGGAAGUUUUUUGAAAAUUGGUUUGCUAUAAAAUAAUUUUUUAUUAGUUAAUUUUAUUCUGAAUUGAGGUGUAGUUAGACAAUAACAAGAUAAGUAAUUAGGGUGAAGUCGUAACAGGGUAGUCGUAGGGGAACCUGUGGCUGGGUUAUUCAACAG